rnacentral:rRNA from 1 species
GACGAACGCUGGCGGCGUGCUUAACACAUGCAAGUCGAACGAUGAAGGAGAGCUUGCUCUCCGGAUUAGUGGCGUACGGGUGAGUAACACGUGACUAACCUGCCCCUUUCUCUGGGAUAACGCUCCGAAAGGAGUGCUAAUACCGGAUACGAACUCUGAACACAUGUUCGGAGUUGGAAAGUUUUUCGGAAAGGGAUGGAGUCGCGGCCUAUCAGCUUGUUGGUGAGGUAACGGCUCACCAAGGCGACGACGGGUAGCCGGCCUGAGAGGGCGACCGGCCACACUGGGACUGAGACACGGCCCAGACUCCUACGGGAGGCAGCAGUGGGGAAUAUUGCACAAUGGGCGAAAGCCUGAUGCAGCGACGCCGCGUGAGGGAUGAAGGUCUUCGGAUUGUAAACCUCUUUCAGUAGGGACGAAGCGAAAGUGACGGUACCUAAAGAAUAAGCACCGGCUAACUACGUGCCAGCCGCCGCGGUAA